GAACGCGAAGAACCUUACCAUCCUUUGACAUGGCGUGUUACCCAGAGAGAUUUGGGGUCCACUUCGGUGGCGCGCACACAGGUGCUGCAUGGCUGUCGUCAGCUCGUGUCGUGAGAUGUUGGGUUAAGUCCCGCAACGAGCGCAACCCACGUCCUUAGUUGCCAUCAUUCAGUUGGGCACUCUAGGGAGACUGCCGGUGAUAAGCCGCGAGGAAGGUGUGGAUGACGUCAAGUCCUCAUGGCCCUUACGGGAUGGGCUACACACGUGCUACAAUGGCGGUGACAGUGGGACGCGAAGGAGCGAUCUGGAGCAAAUCCCCAAAAGCCGUCUCAGUUCGGAUUGCACUCUGCAACUCGAGUGCAUGAAGGCGGAAUCGCUAGUAAUCGUGGAUCAGCAUGCCACGGUGAAUACGUUCCCGGGUCUUGUACACACC
rnacentral:rRNA from 1 species